AUGGCGUGAUCUGAUGGAAAAGGACGAGGCCGUGAAAUGUUUCUAUUUGGAUGGCGAGACACAUGCCAAGUUCAUGAAGACCCGUCGUGAUGGUGAACCCAACUAUGAUAUGCUUGUUGUAAAUCCUUGUAAACGUCAACGCACUUGCUAAGCAGCUUAUACCUUUCCUGACUCCAUUAGCCUCCCCACCUCCUUAAUUUUUUACUUUAUACGUUCAAGUGUAACGUAUAUUUGCUGUUCUGUACAUACAUAUAAUUGGCAAGCAAAAAAUCGCUGUUUUUUUUCUUACAUACAUUAUUUUUUUAUAUAUUUUUUAGAUAAGACAUUUUUUACACAUAUCAUUUUGUUUUGGACAAAAACCCGAAAGUAAAUUGAAAUAAAAAGAAAAAAUACACA
rnacentral:sRNA from 1 species